AUGUUUUCGAAGAAUACAGCCAUGGAGAUCGCUCCUGAAAACUACCUCAUUGUUACCAAAAAUGGAAAUGUGUGCUUGGGCAUUCUUGACGGGUCGGUGGCCAAACUUAAUUUCAACAUAAUUGGAGAUAUCACAAUGCAGGAUCAGUUGGUAAUUUAUGACAAUGAGAAAGGGAAACUUGGAUGGAUCCGUGGAUCAUGCAGUAGGGGCACUAAGUAUAGUAUAUCUUCAUUUACAUGGUAUUUGCUUAUAAUCCAACUGUUAGCCCAUCCGUUAAAAAGCUGGAUAUAUCAUUAUUGA
rnacentral:rRNA from 1 species